UGACAAUGGAUGCCUUGGGUAUUCAUGCCGAGGAAGGACGCAUAUGGCGGCGAUACUCGUCGGGGAGGAGCCAUACUCCAUUUAUCCGGCGGUUUCCGAAUCGAGAAAUCGACCCCGAUCAUAUCGGGGGAGUCCAUCGUAAAGGCAAUCGAAAGAUUGACAUAGCGAUGGGCAGGGCACCAUCUGAACUGAAACAUCUCAGUAAGGUGAGGAAAAGAAAUCAAAAGAGAUUCCGUAAGUAGCGGCGAGCGAAAGCGGAACAGCCCAAACUCUGGCGCAAGCCAGGGGGUUGUGGGGCAGAAGACAUGGGAGUGUCGCGGAUAGGAGAAUGCCUUGGAAUAGGCAGUCAAAGAAAGUGAAAACCUUGUAUCCGAAAUCCAAAACACCUCUAUUCUGUUCCCGAGUACCAUGAGACACGAAGGUCUUGUGGGAAGCUGGGGGAACCAUCCUCCAAGGCUACAUACAUGAAUACACCGAUAGUGAACAAGUACCGUGAGGGAAAGGUGAAAAGCACCCCGGAAGGGGAAUGAAAUAGUACCUGAAAUUGUCAGCUAACAAACAGCGAGAGUCCCGUAAGGGGUAAUCGCGUGCCUAUUGAAGAAUGAUCCGGUGAGUUGUCGAUAUCUGCAAGUCUAAGCACGUAACCGUGUGGAGGCGUAGUGAAAGCGAGCCUUAAUUGGGCGACCAAAGCAGAUGUCGUCAGACCCGAAACCGAGUGAGCUAACCAUGGACAGGGUGAAGUCCUGCGAAAGUGGGAUGGAGGCCCGAACCCUUCAGAGUUUCAAAUCUGUGGGACGAUCUGUGGUUAGGGGUUAUAUGCCUAUCGAACUCGGAGAUAGCUGGUUCUCCCCGAAAUAUAUUUUGGUAUAGCGGUCGAUCGUCCAACGUAGUGGUAGAGCACUGAAUGAUGCUGGUAUCGCAAGGUAUCUGCCUCAAUCAAACUCCGAAUACUGUCGUUGGUACUCGGCCAGUCAGACAUGCGGGGCUAAGCUCGUGUGUCAAAAGGGAAACAGCCCAGAUUCUCAUCUAAGGUCUCUAAUUUCUCCUCAGUGGUUAAGGAAGUCAUGGUUUUUAGACACCCAGGAAGUUGGCUUAGAAGCAGCCAUCUUUUAAAGAACGCGUAACAGCGCACUGGAUGAAAACCGUGGCGCCGAAAAUGAUCGAGGCUCAAGGAGAAAACCGAAGAUAGAACUCUCGUCCUUUGGACGAGGUGGGUAGGGGAGCGUUCUGUUUGCAGUGAAGGCCAGGCUGUAAGGCUAGCUGGAGCGGACAGAAGUGAGAAUGCCGGAAUGAGUAGCGUUUGGAAGUGAGAAUCUUCCAUGCCGAAUGCGCAAGGUUUCCGAAGCAACGUUCGUCGACUUCGGGUAAGUCGGAACUAAGGCGAGUCGUCCAUUGGACGAGUAGCUCGAUGUAUAAACGGUUGAUAUUCCGUUACAAGGACGUGUCGAUUAAGACUCAAAGGAAUGACAAAGGGGGAUGUGUCUGUGGGUCGCAAGGCCUUUAAGCUUUGAAAUAGUGAUAACUGGCAAAUCCGUUAUUGCGUUUAAUAAAGAAGCAAUGGGGAGUCCAAGUCGCAAGGCAAGGACAACACAGAUAGUUUCGCUUUCAAGAAAAAUUUCGUUGAGGAGCACGUGCUUUCCGUACCGCAAACCGACACAGGUGCGCCGGUGGUAGACCACCAAGGCAAGCGGGCGACAGUGGUUCAAGGAACUCGGCAACAAAAGCUGGGCGUAACCUAUGGGAGACAAGGGAGAAGUUAGCUUUUUAAGCUCCGGUGAACGGCAGCAGUAACUAUAACUGUUCUAUGGUAGAAUUUCAGAAUUGAAGUUCCGACCCGCACGAAAGGUAGAACGACUUAGUGACUGUCUUGAACCAUUACCCGGCGAAAUUGAAAUGGCUGUGAAGAUGCGGCCUACUUGCACUUGGACAAAAAGACCCCGUGGAGCUUUACUGUA
rnacentral:rRNA from 1 species